rnacentral:rRNA from 1 species
GAUGAACGCUGGCGGCGUGCCUAAUACAUGCAAGUCGAGCGAACGGACGAGAAGCUUGCUUUUCUGAUGUUAGCGGCGGACGGGUGAGUAACACGUGGACAACCUACCUAUAAGACUGGGAUAACUACGGGAAACCGGAGCUAAUACCGGAUAAUAUUUUGAACCGCAUGGUUCAAAAGUGAAAGACGGUCUUGCUGUCACUUAUAGAUGGAUCCGCGCUGCAUUAGUUAGUUGGUAAGGUAACGGCUUACCAAGGCAACGAUGCAUAGCCGACCUGAGAGGGUGAUCGCCCACACGGUCACUGAGACACGUUCCACACUCCUGCGGGAGGCCGCAGUCGAGAAUCUUACGCAAUGCGCGAGAGCCUGACGGUGCAACGCCGCCGGAGUGAUGAAGGUGUUCGGAUGCUAAAGCUCUGUUAUUAUGGGAGUACAUAUGUGUAAGUAACCGUGCACAUCUUGACGGUACCUAAACAGAAAGCCCCGGCUAACUCCGUG